AUUGAACGCUGGCGGCAUGCUUUACACAUGCAAGUCGAACGGUAACAGGCCUUCGGGUGCUGACGAGUGGCGAACGGGUGAGUAAUCCAUCGGAACGUACCCAGAGGUGGGGGAUAACGCAGCGAAAGCUGUGCUAAUACCGCAUGUGAUCUGAGGAUGAAAGCGGGGGACCGAGCAGCAAUGUUUGGCCUCGCGCCUUUGGAGCGGCCGAUGUCGGAUUAGCUAGUUGGUGGGGUAAGGGCCUACCAAGGCGACGAUCCGUAGCUGGUCUGAGAGGACGACCAGCCACACUGGGACUGAGACACGGCCCAGACUCCUACGGGAGGCAGCAGUGGGGAAUUUUGGACAAUGGGCGCAAGCCUGAUCCAGCAAUGCCGCGUGCGGGAAGAAGGCCUUCGGGUUGUAAACCGCUUUUGGCAGGAACGAAACGGUGUCCGCUAAUACCGGGCGCUAAUGACGGUACCUGCAGAAUAAGCACCGGCUAACUACGUG
rnacentral:rRNA from 1 species